CUACGGGGCGCACCAGUGAGGAAUAUUGCACAAUGGGGGGAACCCUGAUGCAGCAACGCCGCGUGGAGGAUGACGCAUUUCGGUGUGUAAACUCCUUUUAUAUGUCAAGAAAAUGACGGUAGCAUAUGAAUAAGCACCGGCUAACUCCGUGCCAGCAGCCGCGGUAAUACGGAGGGUGCAAGCGUUACUCGGAAUCACUGGGCGUAAAGGACGCGUAGGCGGGUUGGAAAGUCAGGUGUGAAAUCCUACAGCUUAACUGUAGAACCGCACUUGAAACUUCUAAUCUAGAGUAUGGGAGGGGGAGAUGGAAUUAGUGGUGUAGGGGUAAAAUCCGUAGAUAUCACUAGGAAUACCUAAAGCGGAGGCGAUCUCCUGGAACAUUACUGACGCUAAGGCGUGAAAGCGUGGGGAGCAAACAGGAUUAGAUACCCGCGUAGUC
rnacentral:rRNA from 1 species